rnacentral:rRNA from 1 species
UACGAAGGGGGCUAGCGUUGCUCGGAAUCACUGGGCGUAAAGGGCGCGUAGGCGGACUUUUAAGUCAGGGGGUGAAAUCCUGAGGCUCAACCUCAGAACUGCCUUUGAUACUGAGGGUCUCGAGACCGGUAGAGGUAAGUGGAACUGCGAGUGUAGAGGUGAAAUUCGUAGAUAUUCGCAAGAACACCAGUGGCGAAGGCGGCUUACUGGACCGGUUCUGACGCUGAGGCGCGAAAGCGUGGGGAGCAAACAGG